CCUACGGGAGGCAGCAGUGAGGAAUAUUGGUCAAUGGACGAGAGUCUGAACCAGCCAAGUAGCGUGAAGGAUGACUGCCCUACGGGUUGUAAACUUCUUUUAUAAAGGAAUAAAACGAGGCACGUGUGCCUCUUUGCAUGUACUUUAUGAAUAAGGAUCGGCCAACCCCGUGCCAGCAGCCGCGGUAAUACGGAGGAUCCGAGCGUUAUCCGGAUUUAUUGGGUGUAAAGGGAGCGUAGGUGGGUUGUUAAGUGAGUUGUGAAAGUUUGCGGCUCAACCGUAAAAUUGCAAUUGAUACUGGCAGUCUUGAGUACAGUUGGGGUAGGCGGAAUUCGUGGUGUAGCGGUGAAAUGCUUAGAUAUCACGAAGAACCCCGAUUGCGAAGGCAGCUUACUAAACUGUGACUGACAUUGAGGCUCGAAAGUGUGGGUAUCAAACGGGAUUAGAUACCCGAGUAGUC
rnacentral:rRNA from 1 species